CAAACUGUCUUAAAAUUGUUUAUCCAGAUACUUUGGAUCUGUGCAUGUGCUUUGUACGACAGCAUAAAGAUCUGAGCAUUUUUCUCAAUUUGCAAUAAUAGUGAGCUUUCUGUCCACCAGGCCAAGGUGAGACAAGAACAUGGCAGCCGUUACGCCAGAUUUUCAAAAGAUUGUGCCACACCUUAUCAGAGUUUUCAUCUUAUAUCUGCCUGGUCUGUAUGCACAGACCACAAAGUGUGACAUUAAGUCUGUGAGAGCAGGGCAGCCAGUGUCACUGACAUGUCAGUUCAGCGAGAGGCUUGAUGUCAUGAAGAAAGAUGUCUCCAUCGUACACUUCAACAACAAUUCACAAACGGUCAUCGCGGAAUGUACUGGAUGAGUGACCAGCCUGACUGUUACGCAGACAAACAUAAAGGAUACAACUUCAACAGCUCGUUGCCAACCGCCUGACAGUCGUCAUCCCCAGCCCUACACCCAAACACGAGGGACAGUAUGAAUGUCAAUUCAACGGCGGUAAAGAGAGAGCCUACACACCAUGCUGCUUCCACUUGUUGCCAGAUCAGGAACAGUUGCACCUGGAGGUGGUGAUUCCAGUGACAGUAGGGUGUGUGAUCCUGGCACUGGCUGUUGCUUUUCUCGCCAUCUUGUGGAGACAAAGGUCGAAGUCACUCUGCUGUCAACAAACAAAAGCAAAUUCUUUUGGAAAAGUCUGAGAAACUACUGCCAUGUAGAAUGACACUGGCAAUGAACUGUCGAGGUCGAGU